GGAUUAGAUACCCGGGUAGCCCUAGCAGUAAACGCUGCUUACUAUAUGUUGCAUUUCCCUGAGGAAAUGCAGUAUGACAGCGAAGGCGUUAAGUAAGCCACUUGGGGAGUAUAAUCGCAAGGUCGAAACUUAAAGGAAUUGGCGGGGGAGCACAAAAACGGGUGAAGUUUGCGGUUUAAUUGGAUUCAACUCCGGGAAUCUUACCAGAAGCGACAGCAAUAUGAAGGUCAGUCUAAAGAACUUACCAAAUGCGCUGAAAGGUGUUGCAUGGCCAUCAUCAGUUAGUAUCUUGAGACGUCCCGUUAAGUCGGGUAACUAACAAGACCCUCUUCUAUAUUUGCUAACGUGCAAUCCGUUGCGAAUGAGCAAAAUAUAGAGACAGCUUUCGAAAGAAAGAGGAAGGUGAGGGCGACGGUAGGUCAGUACGACCCUAAUCCUCUGGGCUACACGCGAAUUGCAAUGGUAAAGGCAAUAGGAUGCGACUCCGAAGGGAGGAGCUAAUCCCCGAAUCUUUACCUUAGUUCGGAUCGAGGUCUGUAACUCGGCCUCGUGAAGGCGGAAUCCGUAGUAACCGCGUUUCAACAAAGCGCGGUGAAUACUUUCCUGCUCCUUGCACACACUGCCCGUCAAACCAAACAAGUUGGAUUUAGAUGAGAUUGUCGUUCUGCGAUAACCGAAUCUAGGUUCAGUGAGUAGGGUUAAGUCGUAACAAGGUAACCGUA
rnacentral:rRNA from 1 species